GGCGAGCGAACCUGGAUUAGCCCUUAAGCACUCGGUGAAGUAGGUGAACAAGCUGGAAAGCUUGGCGAUACAGGGUGAUAGCCCCGUAACCGACGCUUCAUCGAGCGUGAAAUCGAGUAGGGCGGGACACGUGAUAUCCUGUCUGAAUAUGGGGGGACCAUCCUCCAAGGCUAAAUACUCCUGACUGACCGAUAGUGAACCAGUACCGUGAGGGAAAGGCGAAAAGAACCCCUGUGAGGGGAGUGAAAUAGAACCUGAAACCGUGUACGUACAAGCAGUAGGAGCACCUUCGUGGUGUGACUGCGUACCUUUUGUAUAAUGGGUCAGCGACUUAUAUUCAGUGGCAAGGUUAACCGUAUAGGGGAGCCGUAGCGAAAGCGAGUCUUAACUGGGCGCUCAGUCUCUGGAUAUAGACCCGAAACCGGGUGAUCUAGCCAUGGGCAGGUUGAAGGUUGAGUAACAUCAACUGGAGGACCGAACCGACUAAUGUUGAAAAAUUAGCGGAUGACUUGUGGCUAGGGGUGAAAGGCCAAUCAAACUCGGAGAUAGCUGGUUCUCCCCGAAAGCUAUUUAGGUAGCGCCUCGGACGAAUACUACUGGGGGUAGAGCACUGUUAAGGCUAGGGGGUCAUCCCGACUUACCAACCCUUUGCAAACUCCGAAUACCAGUAAGUACUAUCCGGGAGACACACGGCGGGUGCUAACGUCCGUCGUGGAGAGGGAAACAACCCAGACCGCCAGCUAAGGUCCCAAAGUAUUGCUAAGUGGGAAACGAUGUGGGAAGGCUCAGACAGCUAGGAUGUUGGCUUAGAAGCAGCCAUCAUUUAAAGAAAGCGUAAUAGCUCACUAGUCGAGUCGGCCUGCGCGGAAGAUGUAACGGGGCUAAGCAAUACACCGAAGCUGCGGCAAUAUCUUUUAGAUAUUGGGUAGGGGAGCGUUCUGUAAGCCGUUGAAGGUGAAUCGUAAGGUUUGCUGGAGGUAUCAGAAGUGCGAAUGCUGACAUGAGUAACGACAAAGGGGGUGAAAAACCUCCUCGCCGGAAGACCAAGGGUUCCUGUCCAACGUUAAUCGGGGCAGGGUGAGUCGACCCCUAAGGUGAGGCCGAAAGGCGUAAUCGAUGGGAAACGGGUUAAUAUUCCCGUACUUCUGACUAUUGCGAUGGGGGGACGGAGAAGGCUAGGUGGGCCAGGCGACGGUUGUCCUGGUUCAAGUGCGUAGGCUUGAGAGUUAGGUAAAUCCGGCUCUCUCUAAGGCUGAGACACGACGUCGAGCUGCUACGGCAGUGAAGUCAUUGAUGCCAUGCUUCCAGGAAAAGCCUCUAAGCUUCAGAUAGUCAGGAAUCGUACCCCAAACCGACACAGGUGGUCGGGUAGAGAAUACCAAGGCGCUUGAGAGAACUCGGGUGAAGGAACUAGGCAAAAUGGUACCGUAACUUCGGGAGAAGGUACGCUCUUGAUGGUGAAGUCCCUCGCGGAUGGAGCUGACGAGAGUCGCAGAUACCAGGUGGCUGCAACUGUUUAUUAAAAACACAGCACUGUGCAAAAUCGCAAGAUGACGUAUACGGUGUGACGCCUGCCCGGUGCCGGAAGGUUAAUUGAUGGGGUUAGCGCAAGCGAAGCUCUUGAUCGAAGCCCCGGUAAACGGCGGCCGUAACUAUAACGGUCCUAAGGUAGCGAAAUUCCUUGUCGGGUAAGUUCCGACCUGCACGAAUGGCGUAAUGAUGGCCACGCUGUCUCCACCCGAGACUCAGUGAAAUUGAAAUCGCUGUGAAGAUGCAGUGUACCCGCGGCUAGACGGAAAGACCCCGUGAACCUUUACUACAGCUUGGCACUGAACAUUGAACCUACAUGUGUAGGAUAGGUGGGAGGCUAUGAAGACGUGACGCCAGUUGCGUUGGAGCCGUCCUUGAAAUACCACCCUUGUAUGUUUGAUGUUCUAACUUAGACCCAUUAUCUGGGUUGAGGACAGUGCCUGGUGGGUAGUUUGACUGGGGCGGUCUCCUCCCAAAGAGUAACGGAGGAGCACGAAGGUGGGCUAAUCACGGUUGGACAUCGUGAGGUUAGUGCAAUGGCAUAAGCCCGCUUAACUGCGAGAAUGACGGUUCGAGCAGGUGCGAAAGCAGGUCAUAGUGAUCCGGUGGUUCUGUAUGGAAGGGCCAUCGCUCAACGGAUAAAAGGUACUCCGGGGAUAACAGGCUGAUACCGCCCAAGAGUUCAUAUCGACGGCGGUGUUUGGCACCUCGAUGUCGGCUCAUCACAUCCUGGGGCUGAAGUCGGUCCCAAGGGUAUGGCUGUUCGCCAUUUAAAGUGGUACGCGAGCUGGGUUUAGAACGUCGUGAGACAGUUCGGUCCCUAUCUGCCGUGGGCGUUGGAAGAUUGAAGGGGGCUGCUCCUAGUACGAGAGGACCGGAGUGGACGAACCUCUGGUGUUCGGGUUGUGUCGCCAGACGCAUUGCCCGGUAGCUAAGUUCGGAAUUGAUAAGCGCUGAAAGCAUCUAAGCGCGAAGCGAGCCCUGAGAUGAGUCUUCCC
rnacentral:rRNA from 1 species